CCUUUUUUUCCUAUUCUCCUCCCCACCCCGCUGGGGGAUGCGUGUGUGUGAGCAAGUGGCUGCAUGGUACUAGUUGCCAGCUGGAGUUAAACCAUGUAAUGGAACAAGAUUCCCAUGUCAAGAUAAGGUGAACUGUGCCCUGAACAUGCCUACUCCCCUCCUUGGAGUAUAAAAAGGAUCUGGAGAACAGCUUCAUUUGAGUUAGGCUCACUUGAAAUGGAGAGCUUCAUCUAAAGCAGAAGCAUUUUCUUGUGAAGGGACUCCAGCAUAAAACACCUUGCGGGAGGAAUGAAGGACCACUGCAGAGCUACGAGGUGGAAAAGGAUUUGGCUAGAGAAGAGAAGAGAAGACAGUUGGCUAUACUGGGGAUAUGCUGGAAGGGAAUUUCACCCCUGGAAUACCUCAAGAACAUUUCUAUUUUUAAUAAAUAGCUGGAUGCAAAAUAUAGCAGCAUCAGCAAUAAAGAGAAGGACUGGACUAUUCAGGAAGAUAUGAUGGCAUUUAUAAACAUGAUGGAAAUGGUUUGUAAUUGUGCAAAAUGUUCUUAAAAGUGAAUCGGAAGCAUGUCUGCUUGAAGCCAGAAAUUCAUUACAUAGAAAUGCAAAAGGGGGGAAAAAAGUACCUCCUUCCCUUACUCACCACACUCUGACCAUGAGACUCCAAAGUUAUAGGGUUGCCAAGUAGGCAAAUGCAAUUCCAGUUUAUAUCAAAUGAGCUGUUUCCAGUAGAGAAAGGAAAACAGGAAUGCUGUGCUCUGCCAUGCACUGGGACUUCCUGUGGAAUUCUAUGAACAAAACCUGCAGAAAUGGAGGCUAUCACAAGUGACUAAAAUAAGGUCUAAAGACCCAAGAAAAGAGCAUGAGACCUUGCAGAAGGGAUUAAAGCAACAUCUGAAGGCUUUGCUGAAAGGCUUAGGAGAUGGCCUGAGACUGGAGGUAAAAUUUUUUAGGGGCAGCAGAAGCUGGAACAAGUUCAAAUUAAAUGAAUAAGGAACCAGUAACCAGAUGGCUGAGGACCAGCAGCUUUUCCGGGGACAGGGGAGGCCAAGGAAUCUUUGGCAAGCUUGGAGGUUACUAACUGAGCAGGACAGCAGUGAGGAUUAAAAAAGCUAAAAAUACCAACAGCACAAGGAAAUCAGAAAGUUGCAAAAGUCAGAAACCUGAUGUAGAAUUAAGGCUGUCAGAGGAUUCUACUGCCUAGCUUUAUAACACUGUCACAACUGCAGAAACAGGAAAGAAAGAAGUCAAACAAACUGUACCAAUAUGUAAGAAAUCGGGUCAGUGAAUGAUCUGAGAAGGCAUGCCCAGAACCCUUGUGUCAGAGAAGAUGGACAGCAACAGCGUUUCCCAGGAACCAAAUAGGUCUGAAACAUUACCUGCAGCAAAAAAAAAAAUCUUAGUUUCCAAACUGGGGCACACGUUCCAAAGCCAGAAACCAUCCCAGUAGACUGGGGCUCACUGGGAUCUCAGGGGAAAGAAGGGGAGAAUCUACCCAAGCUAAGAAGAACCUGAGGAACCUUCCCUCCUGGCACACCUCCAGCAAAGGCUGCCAAGAUGCUUUGGCAAUGGACCAGUUUAGAGGGACUCAGCUGGACUUGGCCUGGCCUGCAAAGACCAGAGAAAGGAGGCCAGAGCCGUUCUGAGAGGUGCUGGAAUUUGUCACGGGGCUCAGCUGCAGCUGUGUGCUGAAAGGGAACAUUGCUGCAGGGCAGAGAGAGAGGAGCUCAGUGCUGCAGACACAGUACGCAGGCUCUGAAUAGCUGGAAGACGGUGAGAUAUCAAUUCAUGUAAGACAGUCCCAGACAUUCACAAACCCGUGCUGCUCGGAAAGGCUUGGCCAAGCUGCUGAAAAAUUGACAGGUUCCUGUUGAAUAAUUAAGUCCUCUCUUUCAAACACUUCAAUUAAUACAGUGCAGAAAGCUGAUUCGUUCAGAUGUUCAUGUCAGCUCCUGCAUCACUGCUUCAAUCCUGGUCACAUGUGUAUGGAGGGAAGAACUCCUGCUUCUGGAGGGUGUCCUCCACUGGCCUAUCCCAGAGGGGCUGCAACACAAGGAGUGAAACUUGACAGGUGUACAAGCGGAUCCAAUGUCUGUCAAAGCCCAGCCAUUUUCCCUUAUGCCAUGUUUUAGGCUUGUGCUUUGGGAACUUGAUAAAAUUCAAUGGAGAUAUACGAGUAGCAGGAAACAAUCUGUGCAAAAAUGAAGAACAGUUUUGGAUUGCUUCCUGCUGGAGAAGAGACUGGGAUGAUACCACACUGACCCCAGGGUAACUAAGAGCAAAACUUGGCUCUCUGGGUAUCUCUGAGCAUGGACAGUCAUCCACACUGCAGUGAGCUAUAAAAAGAAUAUAGCUUUCAUAUUAUUUGUGUUGAUCAAGAAGUUACUUGUGGUAAUUUUGCUGUUAUGCUGCUUCUAAUCUUUCUGCUGGGUUUUGAAUAUUAUCUUCAGAUUUUUUUUUCAUACUUUAUUUUUCUAUACAUUAGCUAUUUCUUUGGUGUCAUCCUGUUUUACUGACAUGAAAAAUGAAAGCUCUUCUUUCAUUUCAUAACAAACAGCACAAUUAAGACUUAAUUAGAUGCGUAUGAGUAAGGAAAUGGCAAUGCCACACAGGACCUUAAAUGUGGUAUCGUUCAGUUGCUCAAGUGCAGAAUCCUGGGAAAAAAAAUCCAGACAAAAAUAUUCCCAUCAACUUACUUCUAGCUGUACCUUUACAGGCUGGCAUGAUUGCCACUGGCAAUUAUUGUUUUUCUAGUCAUUAUUCUAAAAAUACAAUGUACCUAUUUUUUUUCCCUUUCCACAAUAAAAACUCUGACAGGUGCAUGGAAAUGAAAUUUCUCCAUGCAUUGGAUUCAUAGAGAGGAUUAUAUGAAAACGUUUAAGGUCUAAGCAAAGAUCAUAUGGCACUACAUAGGAUUUCUGAAGUUAUUAUGCUGUUAUAUGCCUACAGAAAAAAAGCAUACAAAGAUGUGAGGUAGUUUUCUCUCUUCAGAAUUGUGCUGGUGCUAAAUAGGGAAGAGGGUUAGUUGAUGGAUGGCCUGUCUCGGUGUCCUCUCUGUACCUGUUUGGAAAUGGAAAAAUUACUGCUGGCUUUCUGGCUUACCACCACAGGUCACCUCUGUGCCUUCCGAUACCCCAACCCCGGGGACAGGACGGUGUCCAGGGCUCCUCCAUCCAGCUUGUUCCAGCUGAAGGUGGCUUGAAUAUCCACCAGAGGCUACAACAAUAGACUUCAGGAGCAGGUGGAUAUGGAAAAAGGGUCCUGGGCAGGUCUCUGUGGACAGUAAUAAUCAGAAAAAUAACCACUGAUCCUUUGAAGAUGUUAAGUGCAGGUCCAGCCUCUCUCCAAGUGAAUAGCUAGCAAAAAGGAGGAGUUCUGUGUACUCGGUGUCAUCUAACCCUAAACCUUAGGUGAGGAGGUUCGUGAUUCUCCAAAAUGAGAAUGAGGUGAUUUGGCUUAGGUGAGCUAAGAGUCUGUUUCACAAUUUGCCAUACAAUUGCCCAAGACAAACACAUUGCAGUUGAGUUGGACAGCCUGGCACAAUAGACCUAGUCACAGCUCUUUGGAAAACUGUGAUGCUAUUAGUGUUUCCUUGUUUCUUUUGGCAAUUCAGGGAACAAACCAACUUGCAGAUCAUUCCUAAAAAAGGCAUUCUGUAAGAGGCACUGAUACACAUUUUCUCUAAGUCUGACAUUGAUGAAGUUAUAGUUGGCGAUAGCAGUUUCUUGUACUUACCCAGAGAAUGAUGCUCCUGAGUGUGUCUUCACUUUUCAAGCAUCUGAUCUCCCCUGACUUCCAAGUAGCUGAUGCAACAUUAUUGCUCCUGAAAGCUCCAGGCAGGAUUUGGCAUCUGAUUUGCAAAGACACUGAUAAAUUUUGCGAGUUUCUGAAUUAAGGGCCGAAAUGAUUGUGAAUCAAUUUGCUUUUUGUUUUCCUGACUUUUGAGUCCUUUUGCUCAUUCUUCAUGGUUUAGUGCAGAUGUGACUCUAUCUUCUUGCCCUAAGUGAGAAGGUUUUCAUAUUCUUUGCUACCCACAUAGAAAAAUAAUGCUCCAAAUGGACAGUGCUAGCAGGCACAGUGGCUCAGGCUGGCCAGAAAAAGUGCAGCUAGACAAGUGUUUGCCAAUCACUUUUAAACGAAGCUCACAUAAUCUUUUGAAAAUAAGUAUUGGCUCAGACCAAUUCUAUGGUAUUGCCAGGGCAGUUCUGACUUGCAACUAACCAAAAAUGCCUCAACAUUGCAUAAAUAAACUGACAGUUUAUUUAACAUAUUUAUUUCCUCAUAAGUUCAUUGUCAAGGGUAUGACGAAGAUGUGUGUGUGCUCUUUAUAAAUUACAUAUGUGCUACUGUUUCCUGGACCACGUUCUGAUGCUCUGUGGAAUCUGGAAAACAGUCAUUUAAUUGGGUGACCCACAGUUAGGCUUUGACAUCCGCCACAACCAGCACAUGAAGGAGCCAACAAUGGCCCCAUGAAUUAAAAGGAACAUGCAGGACUGUGAUGGAGACGGGGAAGAAAGCUUUCUGUGAGCGGGGAAUAAAUAUAAUACACUGAUCUUGUGUUCAUGUUGAGCUUUGUCACUUUUGCAAUGAAAUUAGUCAAGAUUAAAAAAGCUUUCCAUUUCCACAAUGCCAGAAACACCUCUCUGUGGACAACCCUCACACCUCCCUGUUCUUGCCAGCCCCUAUUUCAGAUGAUGGGUAGUCUGCCUUCUGUGCAGCAGUUUUGGCUUAGCAGGCAGAGACCUUUUUUCCAUUUCUUCCUGCCCUCUGAGCUGCUGCCUGCCCCAGUCUCCCUUACGGAGGCCCUUGCACUCCCCAAGCACCCAGCCUUCCAGUCACCCCUGUCUUCUUUCACUCUUAGUCAUCGCUUAAUUUUCUGGCACUGCCUUGACAUGGGUCUGUUUCUCUUUUUUCAGGCCUCUGGUGUAAAGGUUUUAUCCAAGCCAUCCUUCAAAGAUAACAAGAAAACUUGAAAAAAGAGUUUGUUUUUCAGCUCACAGUGGCAUAACUCAGGAGAAAGACCACUGAAGGAAACAGAGAGACAGACAAUCAGAGGGGAAAACCAGGCUCACAGCUUCAAACUGUUCAUUUUUUCUGGCUCACGCUGCCAUUUCCUCAGAUCCAGCAAGAUGGCAUAGGAAAUCAAUACUCAUUUGCUGUGUUGUGUUUCUGCACUUUAAAGAGAAGGGGACCACGCCUUCUUCAAGCCCUGGUUCUGAACCACCGCUGAAAAAGUUAGUGACUUUCUAUUAUUUGCUUUGUAGUGUCAUGUUUAUUACUGAUAAAAAGGAGAAGCACUUAGUGACCAGACAUCUUCUUUAUAGGUCUGCAGCAACUGGUUCCACCUCAGAGAUCUCACCUGAAACUCCUGAGCUUUUUUUUUCUUUAUUCUCCCCCCUCCCCUUUUUAU